UAAUAACUACCAAGAAGUGCUGGAACGAGUCCAAAUUGCAGAAGAGGCUACAAGCCCAAUCCCACAACAAAGCCAACAAGCUCAACCAUUCGUAACGAACAAUAGAGGAAGGCCUAAGAGCCACAACAACCUGAUAAGAGGUAGAAGACAGGUUUCAUAAUUCCUUCGAGUGCCCUAGCACAAGAGCCAAAGCAAAUUUGCCCCUAUUGUGGAAAAAAUCAUGGUAGCAGACCUUAUUAUAAGUUGACAAAUGGAUGCUUCAGAUGUGGUGUACUUAACA
rnacentral:lncRNA from 1 species